UACGAAGGUGGCAAGCGUUACUCGGAAUUACUGGGCGUAAAGGGCUCGUAGGUGGCCAACUAAGUCAGACGUGAAAUCCCUCGGCUUAACCGGGGAACUGCGUCUGAUACUGGAUGGCUUGAGUUUGGGAGAGGGACGCGGAAUUCCAGGUGUAGCGGUGAAAUGCGUAGAUAUCUGGAGGAACACCGGUGGCGAAGGCGGCGUCCUGGACCAACACUGACACUGAGGAGCGAAAGCCAGGGGAGCAAACGGG
rnacentral:rRNA from 1 species